GCGGCGGUCAGUUUUCCCAGCCUCAGCCCGUCAUUAGGGCUCGCUCGGUGGAGGGGACUUGCCAGGGCGGAGGAAGGGAAACCCGGAGCUUGAUUUUCGCUUAAAACAGAAAGACAGAGCACCUGCCUUGGAUACUGACAGGAAAGAGCCGUUUGCCCCCUGGCAGCAAGAUUAGAAUGCGCCGCUGCCUUCAGUUGUAGUGGGGUGUAACGGCACUGAAACCAACGCAGUUAGCAUCAAUGUCAAAUCGGAGAAACACUGCUGAUUCAGGCUAGCUGGGCCUGAUACCACGUGUGAUCCUGCAGACCAGUGACCCCGGCUUGAUCAUAUGUGAUCAGUUCUCUUUUCCUGACUUUCAUGGAAUCACUGGGUCUGCUCUGUAGACUCUGAUCCUGCCAGUGCUUAUGCACCUGCUUAACUUUAGGCAGAUGUGUAGUUCCAUUUAACUCAAAGAGCAUAACGAUACACACCUGCAAAAAUGUUUUCAUGCUCUUGGACUAUACAGACCUAUGGACAUGGACCUUAUCUUUUUCUGUGUUCUGUAUAGUGCUGAGCACAUUGUCUGCAGUCAAGAUAUGAAUCCCUCAAUUUCCCCAGGAGUUAAAAUAAGGAUGAUACUUAAACACCUUUGUAAAAUGCAUUGGAAUAUAUAGACAAAAGUGCUAUGUAAAUGCUAAGUAUUACUGUAAAGUAACAGAUACAGUAACUGUUGUAGGCUGCCAGUGAUGUCACAAUAAAUGGUGGCUCAAACUUCAGUGAACAUGGCAGUCAGUUCUACUUUUGACAUCACAAUGGGUUAGUUGGCAAGACACCAGUGGAUACAGUAUGCUGACUUACUUUUUCCCAAACCUGGUUUAAUGAAUGUUUCUCACAAACACUUGUGAAAUGGCAUAGUAAAUCCAGAUUAUAAUUACAUGUGUAUGCACAAAUUAGUUGCUGAAUUAAGAGUUCCAAAAUUAGAACCGUCAGGAACAGCCAGGAGCAUUUCUCCAAUCUACUAGAAUCUUUGAGUGUGUCAACAAUAUAGUAGUUAUGAAAGAGCUGGUUGAUUUAAGUGUAUUUGGAUUUUCAAACAGCUUUGGACAAGGUCUCAGACAAUGGGCUAUUAAUGAAACUGAAGUCACAGUGUGAGAGGUAUAGAUUGUCAUAGAUUAGAAAUUGGCCUUGAGAUACAAAAAGAGUAAGAGUUUUCAGCUUGGCAAGUAUAGCAGGGGGGUGUAACCACGAGGUUCUAUACUAGGGCUGGUACUGUUUAGUGUAUUUAUUAAUGAUUUGGACAAGGGGAUUUUAACCAUGAGAUGGCAAAUUUACAUAUCAGACAAAAGUGUUUAGGUUAGUCAAAACCAGGUAGACUGAGGAAUUACAAAAAGAUAUUAUGACACUGGCAGACCAGGUGCCAGCUCAUGACACAGCCCCUAGGCUCAACUGAACUCUGACCAAUAUAUAACUGGAAACCAGUCUGGUUUACCUGCAUAUUAGCACUGUUAAAACAGAUCUUAAUUUAAGAAUGCUUAGUGUUAAGAAUUUAUGAAAUGCUUGUAGGAUGCUGCAUGUAGUAAUCUCAUUUAUAACAUCUGUACCCCACCGUGUAAGUUUAUAUUGAGUAGUUGUAUUAUAAAUCUCUGUAAAUUUGUAAAUCAUCAAACAGGAAAGGAGUAUUAAUUUAUGUAAAAUGCAGGCUUCCUACAAAAGAUGGUAAGUCCUGCCCAUCAAAAGAUGGUAAGUCCCAUUGAAGGCCCAUUGAAACCAAAUGAGCCACUGUGAAACAUCAAAGAACAAAGACUUUAAUUGCUCCCCCACCACACCCAUGAAGAGAAUCUGUGUGUGUGUGUGGACUCAUCCCAUCAGUUUGAAGUCUGGGAGAAGGAAAUAAAAAUCCCUAACCAGAAGAAAAUGCAUUUCUACACUGCUUGGACUCUGGGAGGGCAAGAUUUCUAAGCAGAAGCAAGGGAUCCCCAGUGCUUGACCUGGGUUAGCUCUAAAGGACUUGUAGAGCUUGUAUAUUAUAGAAGUUUCUACUGCCUUUUGAAAGUGAACUCCUACUGAUGCUAAUUCACAUGUUAUGCUCUGCAGGGACAGCCACAGAGAGACAAGAUCUGCAAGUCUUGUCUACUGUUUGAACCAGGCAAAGUAUGGAUCUUGUUCCCCAAGGACAGAUUUCAUUAUUUAUUAUAAGGGUAGCAUACUUCAUGUUGUGAAGCAAAUGUCAUUAGUGCAAUCUAGAGAUAUGUAACACAUAGCAGAAUGUGCUUCUCCUCCUUUUUGGGUACAGAUUCAAAGUGUGGUAUAAUCAGUGACUAAGCAUGCCAAAUAUUUUAAUCUCUUUUUAUCACUGAUCUAUGUCUACCAUACAAAUCAUAUCAAAGUAUAGACUUAGAGUCUUUACAUUUAUAUGUCGAACAAAGUACAGUUGAGAGUUAUCAUAUUCCAUCUAACCUUGGGUGAUAUAGGUGGUACAUUUUUAUAUUGCAGACAUACUACGUGUUUCUUUGUAUAUAAGGCUGAUGUUUAAAUUAAUUAAUUUUCUGAAAUAAAUGUUCAGUUUCA